AUAUCUCUCUGUACGGGAAGGAUGAGAAGCUUCGACUAAGGUUCGAUUCGAGCGCAGCGAGAAAGCGUUGGGAGCAGACUGUAAAUCUGCCGUCAUCGACUUCGAAGGUUCGAAUCCUUCCCCCACCACCA
rnacentral:sRNA from 1 species